rnacentral:rRNA from 2 species
GUAAUGUCUGGGAAACUGCCUGAUGGAGGGGGAUAACUACUGGAAACGGUGGCUAAUACCGCAUAACGUCGCAAGACCAAAGAGGGGGACCUUCGGGCCUCUUGCCAUCAGAUGUGCCCAGAUGGGAUUAGCUAGUUGGUGAGGUAACGGCUCACCAAGGCGACGAUCCCUAGCUGGUCUGAGAGGAUGACCAGCCACACUGGAACUGAGACACGGUCCAGACUCCUACGGGAGGCAGCAGUGGGGAAUAUUGCACAAUGGGCGCAAGCCUGAUGCAGCCAUGCCGCGUGUAUGAAGAAGGCCUUCGGGUUGUAAAGUACUUUCAGCGGGGAGGAAGGUGUUGUGGUUAAUAACCGCAGCAAUUGACGUUACCCGCAGAAGAAGCACCGGCUAACUCCGUGCCAGCAGCCGCGGUAAUACGGAGGGUGCAAGCGUUAAUCGGAAUUACUGGGCGUAAAGCGCACGCAGGCGGUCUGUCAAGUCGGAUGUGAAAUCCCCGGGCUCAACCUGGGAACUGCAUUCGAAACUGGCAGGCUUGAGUCUUGUAGAGGGGGGUAGAAUUCCAGGUGUAGCGGUGAAAUGCGUAGAGAUCUGGAGGAAUACCGGUGGCGAAGGCGGCCCCCUGGACAAAGACUGACGCUCAGGUGCGAAAGCGUGGGGAGCAAACAGGAUUAGAUACCCUGGUAGUCCACGCCGUAAACGAUGUCUACUUGGAGGUUGUGCCCUUGAGGCGUGGCUUCCGGAGCUAACGCGUUAAGUAGACCGCCUGGGGAGUACGGCCGCAAGGUUAAAACUCAAAUGAAUUGACGGGGGCCCGCACAAGCGGUGGAGCAUGUGGUUUAAUUCGAUGCAACGCGAAGAACCUUACCUGGUCUUGACAUCCACAGAACUUUCCAGAGAUGGACUGGUGCCUUCGGGAACUGUGAGACAGGUGCUGCAUGGCUGUCGUCAGCUCGUGUUGUGAAAUGUUGGGUUAAGUCCCGCAACGAGCGCAAC